GGCAACGUGGCCGAGUGGUGAAGGCGCAUCACUCGAAACAAUGUUAGAUAUGAUGUUCCUUCGGGAGCGUAGGUUCGAAUCCUGCCGUUGUCG